AAAAAUGGUAAAGAAUUUCCAACGCUAAAAUCACACAGACCAAACUACAUCUGAUGACCGAUUAUUCGUAACGAUUCCUCAAUUUAAAGACCAAUAAAUCUCGUGAACGUCACUCGAUUGCACUGGGCAUGGGAACCGGGAUCCCAUGAAGAUCUGUCAUUCGUUUCUUGCAAAUGGUAUACCAAAUGCUAGUUAAUGAGUUAGAAAGCAGUUCAUGGCACAUGUACUUAAAGGUAAAGACGUUCAAUUUUUCCUCUUUAAAAGUCAACUAUAAAGGAAAAUAUGUUAAAAUAAUUCCAUGUUAAAUUUAAAUUACUGCUAUUACGCGCCAUUACGUCUUAUCAUUCGUGAUUUGUUAUCAUGGAGGAUGUGCCAUGUCGCAUGUCAAGCUGCCCCAUCAAUUGGAAAAGCUGCUUGCAUGACAGAAUUUAACAAGACCCUUUGUCAAGAGCAACACAAUUAGAGGCAAUCAUGCGUAAAGAGGUUUUAAAAAAGUGGCCACUUUUUGUUCGAGUUUUUUCUCGUCACUCACACGUACUUGAGAAGUCCUUGAACAUCGGUAUGUUCAGUGUGAUCCUACAACUGGCGUCGAAACGGAUAAUGUCCCAAUAUCUAAUCCAGCCAUGGCAGUUGUUGAUAUUUGUUUGGCCAUGAUCCUGACCACCGAAAAGACGCCGCCGCUGCUCAAGAAAGAGGAAGUCAAAGUUGAGUCCACAAAUCGCACUUGCUUUGGUAGAAAUUGAAACGCGUUUAGAACAACUAUGAAUGCACGUUCUUAUUGGAUCUACUCAUUGGGAAGACCUCUUUAAAACUGUCUGUUGAUUUUUUUUUUUUUUUUU